rnacentral:rRNA from 1 species
UACCAGCACCCCGAGUGGUCGGGACGUUUAUUGGGCCUAAAGCAUCCGUAGCCGGUUCUACAAGUCUUCCGUUAAAUCCAACUGCUUAACAGGUGGGCUGCGGAAGAUACUAUGGAGCUAGGAGGCGGGAGAGGCAAGCGGUACUCGAUGGGUAGGGGUAAAAUCCGUUGAUCCAUUGAAGACCACCAGUGGCAAAGGCGGCUUGCCAGAACGCGCUCGACGGUGAGGGAUGAAAGCUGGGGGAGCAAACCGG